rnacentral:lncRNA from 1 species
AUUUUAGCACAAUUCGAUGCAAGCAUAAUAAAGACAUUAAUUAUUUUUGGGAUUCAGCCAUAAUUGUGUAUCUAUUUCUUGCUUUUUCUUGGACCAGCAUAUGCAUCUGUGAAAAAGACAACUAACUCUCAGAGCAGGAGAACAAAUCCCAUCGCAAUCAUCUGAAGUAUGACAUUUUCUCAGUGCUGCCACCUUAAAGGAUGAAAUAUCUGCAAUUAUAUACAAGAAAAUUGUAAGAAAUUCAUUAUAUUGCAUACGAGUUUAGGGGUGUGAAAUAUACAAAUUUGGCUGAAUUUCGGCGUAUCAAAAUGGGUUGACCGGUUAUUAGUCCCCCCUAAAAAAUAUUUAGAUUGAGAUGAGUUAAAUUAAGAUUAGCUAAAUAAUAUGCAUAACCCGACAAACCCACCUCUUAUCAAAUUUUGAUUUUUCUGUACGUUUUGUAAUUUAUUUAAUUACUAAUAAAACUUAUGAAUUUCCCCCAUUUAUUGGAUAUAUAUAUAUAUAUAUAUAUAUAUAUAUAUGUGUGUGUGUGUGUGAAGGCAAUAAAUUAGAAGGCAGUAAGCACUCUACCCAUUUUGUCUUUUCCUUAAAUACUCUUAAAUUUUAAUUUCAACUUCAUUAGUGACAGGUUUUUUUGGUCAUUUGCGCUAAAGCAAAAUUUACUCUCUCUCCCCCAAUUUUCCUACCUAUCUCUUCUCUCUAGAUUAACUCUCUCUCACUUCUCUCUAGCAUUUGUUAAAAUUUGAAUGAGGAAUUAUAGUCUAUCGAAAUAUUGUAGCUUUUGUGAAUUGUAGCAACUGAUUUGAUGUGUACCUAGAUUGAAACUCGAGUUUCUUAGAUCUGGAAUUUCGAAUGUGGUAGUAUUGGUUCCUAACUUUUGUUGUUCUUUUCACUAAACUAAGUAAUAAAAUUAAGCUUUCACUUUUCUUGAAUUAAAGAUAACAAUUUUUGACACAGUAACAAUCUUCAAUUAAAAUCUACUUAAAAGAAAGUCAACACCUUCAUUCCCUUUCUCCUUCGCAAAAGGUGCAUGAUUACACAAGAGAGAGACAGAAAGAGGAAGAAGAGCAUGGAUUACAAGAUGGUAUACUGUUGGAUCUGAUUUUCUUUAAAAAGACCAAAAUAUACCUUUAUUAAAUGUAUUGCAGUAAGCUUUUAAGAAUAUUUAAGGAAAAGACAAAAUGGGUAUGAUGGGAACAUACUACCUUACCAUAGAAAGCUCGCCGGAGAAAGUCAGGUGCAGUCGGUAAGCUCUAUUUGGCCCGGUUCUG